AACAAGAAGAUAAUAAGGUAUUUAUUACACCAAAUCAGCGGACAAGAAAUUAGAUUAACAACAUCAGAUGAUGAACAAGAAGACACAAGAUUCGGAUUUAACAAUAACAACAAAAACACAAGAUUACAACACAAAUACUAAACAAGAUUACAAGAAGGUAAAAGGAUAAAUAGUUAGACAAAUUGAAGGUAUAAUCUUAAAAACCCAAAAGUCUAUCCCACUCUUGAACCUUUAACAUCACACACAACAAAUACCUAACUCUUACGUUGGCACAAGAGAGACCUCGAUCUCCCAAGCAUCCAACGUUUUCAAGCUUGAGUCCAACACGAGUGAAUCCACACUCAAUGUUGAUUUCCCUAGUAACAAGUUUCGGCCAUGGGGGCCUUUCUCACAAAAGAGAGAGUUUCAAGUGUUACAACUUCAAUAUUCAACAAAAACUAAUGCCUAAAACCCUACAUCAUUCUAUUUAUAGUGUGUUACAAAUAAUAGGUAAAAUGACCAAAAGGUCCCUUUAAUGAAAUGUGACCAAGGCCGCCCUUGAAAUGCAAGUUUAGGGUCGGUUUUGGUGUGAUCCAAGGUCUUCUCCACACUUCACUUAGACGCUUUAUUGGACGGAUCCAAUGCAUUUUCACAUACAUGCAUCCUCGUGGUCGUACUCGUAUCACUUUAGUACUUUAGGGCUCUAGUGGCACUUUCUUAAUCGUCAAGGUCUGAGCACUAUAACGUAUAAAUAAUCGACUUUCCUCACAUGUAAAGACAUUCAUAUUCCACUUCUCUCAAGCAAUACAACAGUAGCAUACUGAUUUCUACGGCUCCAGACGUUCCUCUUUAUAUGUAUUUUUCUCUGUUUUCCGGAAAUAGUAAUCUAAGUAGUUGAGUAGUUGGUCUCGUACUCGCUCAUUCUCUCUUCAGACGUGUAUAGAUUUGUUCUUUUU
rnacentral:lncRNA from 1 species